GUGCAUGAACACUGUCCUAUAUAUUGCAUGUAUUAUGCGAAUGUGUGCAUGAACACUGUCCUAUAUAUUGCAUGUAAUAUGCGAAUGUGUGCAUGAACACUGUCCUAUAUAUUGCAUGUACCAUGCGAAUGUGUGCAUGGACAGUCCUAUAUAUUGCAUGUUACUAUGCGAAUCCGCAUUUGGAAUGUACAAUUGCUGAAGCGUCUACGUUAAUAAUAAUCACUUGUGUUACCUCUUGAUUACAUUGAACGAGGAAUAAACAUGUGGAGCCUUUUUAACUCGAGGAGGAAAGUGUCUCUCCCAGAUGUUUCUACGUCCUCAAUGGACAUUUACGAGCUCAAUAGUAGUAUUUGUAGGAAGACCUCACUGAGACUCAUGACUCCAGGAGGGUCCUUGCCAUGAGAUGUUUGGCCAAGCAGCUCCUAAGAGUCUGAUUUCAUGUGGGAGAAACCCAGAGAACCCUGAGAGAAAGCCCGCUCCGUGCUGUAUUUGAGGGGGUCACACUCAGCACUGCCACGACAGACCCACGGCACGCUCUGGCCAUCACCAAUGAACGCACUAACCAGGCUAAAAAAAAUCUGCUUAGCUUGAGAGAUCAUGAAAUCAGAAUAUUCAGGACGAUGUAAGUGUAGCCAUGUACAAAUGUCACGUUCCAUAUCAUUCAAUAAAAAGGGAUAUUAGCUGUCAUCCUAUGCAAUGAAACAAAUUGGAACAUUCUCGCAUCUUACUUUGAAUUUGUAGAUUAAUUGUCAAGAGCUGGAAUGCUGGUGCCAUUUUUAUACGCACAUAAUUUAGGGUAUAAAUGCGUGGAUUCAUCAAUUCAAUUGAUACUCAUGAUACAGGUAAUAAAAAAAUCAGCACGGGUAUGUGUCAUAUUGAUUUACUUAAGAAAAUCCCUACAGCCACUAGAGGCGCUACCAUUCACCACAUUGUAAACAAAAAUAAGUUAUCAGAUUAUAUGGUGACUCCGAACAGUGACAAUUUCAAAGUAUUGUAUGCAGUGCUUUCCAAAAUUUCGAACAUUAUGUUUAUUCCAUAAGAUUCUCCCUGUUAAGGAUGUUGUUUUGCUGUUUAAAUAUGGCUCGCAACUUGUCCAACUUUCUAGAUAAAAUGUUUUUUUUUUUAACGCAAAUAUAUAUUCACCAGCUGGGUUUCAAAGCAAACUGCUCGACUUGAAACCGUGUGUGUACAUUAUUGAAAGUGAACUUUUUCUGCAUUUCUUCCCCAGAGUAAGUCACGGUUCACAUUGUAGAACAAAGGAGAUGGAGGGACCCUCUGCACCGCAGCUCAUUACCAUCACACAAAGGAAAACGCAGUGGCGAAGCAAAUGGGAAGCGCUGUGGAAUAACACGACUUGUGGUGACGUUGAGGAGACCUCCACCACGGAGGGUGUCUGGCCCUGCUGGGAUUGGACUAAUGUCAAUGUUGACCGCCGAUCUCACCCUCGCCGCUGGCUUAACAUUCAGCGCAUUGUGGCAGGUGCGAAAACAAACUCAUCACAAGGAACUUUGGUGAAUAAGGAAACUACAUCAAAACUGACAAGCAGGUCAUCUGGGGACAGGGAAAUACCCUUGAUUGUCAAUACCAGGCUCCGUUCACCUUGUAGAAGACUAAUGGCCGUGAUCACCAAUCAACGCCAUGCGGCGCGGGGUGGACACGGCAGUAGACAACACUUCCACGGGAGGCGACCUUCAUUCUCCCAGAUUGCAUUUGAGAAAUGUCCUUCUUUAAAUUACACAAUUACAGGCAGGCACGCAACGGCGCAUUUAUGCAUUGACUGAAAUAAGAUUCCGACGCUCGCGACACCACACAUGCGUCACAUUGAAUUGUGCUGCUUGAGAAUCGAUCUUUCGCGAUUCAUGCAAAUAUCAUGCAAACGAUAUGCUAAUGUCACAUUUAAGCUAAUGGAGCGAGCAAAACUACACCAGCGAGAUGGGGCGGGGGGGGGGGGGGAAUUGGAAGCAACGCCAAAUGAGAUGGCGAUAACAAGACAAUACAACGCGGAAAAAUUAUGACGUCCUGAAUCGAAUCACGGUGCCAAAAUGGGGACAAUUUAUACAAUUGCUUUGUCGGGGGGUGGGGUACAUGCAGAAUCACAGCAGUACGAGCACUGAAACCCACUUGCAUUGGCAUCAUCAGCCCGUGUGCUGACGACAAGAAUUGUGGAUAAGUCUUCCUGUUUUUGAUCUUAAAUAGGGUAAGGUCAUGUCACCACUGUGAGCCUAACAAGUGCGAAACACCCAGGGAGGUUAAUGCAUUCAACACAAUACUGACAAUCGCCUGAUGAUACUGAUUUUAUUAACGAACGAAACGUCGUACACAAAAUUGUAAAUGUUGUGGGAUCGCUCUCUAGCAUUGACAUGAUCUAACCCAAAAAACGUUAUCAUGACCAAUAAUAAUGGUCGCGAAAGUCUUCAUCUUUAGUUGACGCCAUGCUUUACGGAAAUAGCCCCGAACCGAACUCGACUCCUCUUUGUUCCGAAAUUAUCUUGGCACCCAGCCACACCCAUCUCACCUUAUUCUGCCCUCGUGAUUUUUAUGAUUUAUAGGAUUAUAGGAAUAUGGGGUACAAUAAUAUGGGAUUAUUAUAGAUAGUUCAACCUUGUAUUCGAGUGGCAGCAGCUCAUGACAAAAAUCCCUACUCCAGGGCUAGUCUAGCAAGAAAUUAGCGCCGUAUUCCUAUUGCCGAAAACUUAGAGCUCGCUGGUUCUCACCAGCGACACCCUACUUCAUAUAUUUUCUAAGAGACAAAUUCAGUUCCACCCUACAUCCUUUGCUCGGAGCCUAAACGAGAAUUGCCACUCUCUCUCUUUCCGAGUAAUUUUGAACCAAAUAAAACCACCCACGUUUGGGACUGCCUCUGCACUUAUCCCAGCAUAACUCUGUCGGCUAAUCUAUUCGGAUCUAUGUAAUUACACGGCUGUGCCAUUAAAGUCUGGCUUGUCCCUAAAAAUAAAAAAAACACCCAACAUAUAUAUACACACACACAGGACUUAUAAGAUAGCUCUGAGUGGUUCUAUGUAAACAUUGAAAAUAUGUAUGGUCACACUCAGUACCAUCUUCUCACAGCCUCGCCUUCCCUCUCAUUCCCCAGCACAGGGCACACAAGAAGAUGAAAUCCGGACGCAAGUUUUGAUAUUUCACGGUGGACUUAAAUUGUUGCAAUCGUGAUUUUGCUCGCACCAUACUGUAUGUAACGGGCAAGCAAUGACGCGCAUGUGUUGUGUGUGAAAAAAAGUAUCAAAUAUUCUCACCCACGUGAAGAGGUCAUCCUUCUUAGCAACGCACUAUCUCGUCAGUUUGUAACGUUCGUAGACGUUUUCGCCGUGUGUGCCUCUAUUAAAGUGUUUUUUUUCUUUCAGGAAUUUGCCGUGGCUUCUUGCCUCCGUGGCCAAGCCUGCUGGCUCGAACCCCAAAGGCUCCGCUCGCUGUCUACCCGUGCCCUGUUAGGGGUGCGCGCCGUUGUGUUGGGUACAAAACGCCCCAAUUCCAAUCGGCUCCAGAUUGGGAGAUAACUCAGUACAUUCAAGAACCUGCCGAGACCACCAAGGGAAUUUUAAUGCCACCCAUGGAGUUUAUGUUCUUCGAGCUAUAUGCUGCAACCAAUUUUAAUGUCAGCAUUCAGCUAACAGUGGUGAGUGCUAACAUGUUUGAGCGAUGCAUGGAUGUUGCGUAAGGGUACGCAAUGGUUGUCCCUUUAAUUAAUGGGACUGUAGCUAGGUUGAAAUCAGCCGUGGCUUACAUCAGCGGGGAGUGAUAUCUUAACCUGUCCUUGGCGUCUCCUCUUCGCCAACCUGCACUGACCGGCAUGAAGUAUGGACCAAUAGCCCCCGUGACCAACAGAGCUUUGGUCCAGUAAGGGGCUGACAAAGGGCUGAUAUCUUUUUAAUGUCUUUUAUUUAAAUUUCGAUUUAAAGCUUUCGUGACUGCAGGGAUUCAUCUUCUUGGUUCUUUCGGUAAAGUCACGUAGAAGGGAAAUAAAAAAAAUUUCUUUUGACCAUAAUGAAUGUAUAUAUAUAGCGAUGGAGUGGGUGUGACGAGUUUUGGCUUUGUGAAACCACCCCAAACGUUGAGCUGUAAUUAUUGGACAAUGUUGCAGUACGUACAUGAUGCACACGAACAUCGCCAUCGUCAUCGUCAAGAGCUAUGAUCAAUGCACUGCUAAAUGGAGGCAUCCCCAUGUUAUUCCCAUACCACACGGUCUGGUGAUGCCACUUCUGCGCAGGAGCUGGUCUCCUUGCUCCAUCUCCACGAUGGUGGAGACCUUUGGCGCGCUGUGCUUUGGCUGCCAUUCUGUCACGAGUCAAUUGGCCAGCAUCCUCUCGGGCGACACGAUGACAUCCCAUUUGCAUUUGUGCUCAAAUAAAUGCAUUUCUCUUCCUCUCCCCUUAGUGUAUAUCCAAUCUCUCCGUGCACUUUUCAGUUUUGUGCGUUAAGUCCACAUUCCCUAUUGGGGGAAAAAAAAAUCUCUCCUUUUUGCAUGCAUUAGUUGCUUUUGAUGAUCAAAUUACAUUUUCAAAAAAUAGCUUGAACCUUGCAAGCGGCCGCCUCGUUAUUUAAUCGUUUUGAUCGUUAUCUGUCCUCAAAUAAUUAUUUAAAAAGAGAAGAGGAAAAAAAACCGCUGUCACUUUUACUCAAU